AUGGCGAGUGGUGGUGGGAUGGAGGUGGAGGUGCGCGUCGUGGGCGGUGCCCGGAGCUGCUUCGUCGCGCUCCCGCUCCACCUCAUCGAGGCCCUCUCACGCACCUCCGCUUCAGGUGACCUCCCGCCCGUCCUCGCGCUCGACCUCCGCGCGGCCGCCGGCGCACGGUGGUCCCUCGCCUGGUCCGGCGCCGCGUCCCGAUCCCGCGCCAUCGAGGUUGCACAGGAGUUGGCCGAGUGCAUUUCAUUGCCUGAUGGAACAAUAGCUCAACUCAGUGUAGCUCACUCUCUGACCAGAGCUGACUCGGUCAGUAUAGAGCCCUUUAGUGAGGAUGAUUGGGAGAUACUAGAGAGCCGUGCUGAUUUGGCUGAAGAAACGAUUUUGCAGCAGGUCGGUAUUGUUUAUGAGGGCAUGAAAUUUCCGCUGUGGUUGGAUGGCCAUAAUAUUGUAAAGUUUGUUGUGGUUUCAUCUAGUCCCAAGAAGUCAGUUGUUCAACUUGUGCCGGGAACUGAAGUUGCCGUGGCACCCAAAAAACGUAAAGAGAAAUAUCAAGACGUGCAAAAGCAAGGUUCAUUGAAGGAACAGGUCGAAACAAAGGCACUCUUGCGUGUUCAAGCAGCAGAUAGAAAGUAUACACAUAAAUUUAAAUCUAAAGGCAUCGAACUGGGAGUGGUUCUGAGCUAUGCUGUGCUGAUACAUCCAGAUACAGCUGCAAGGACUUCAUUUGACUCUGUUGCUAAAGGACAUGUUAUGCUUCCCUACUCUAUUCGUCACUUUAUAAGUGCAGACACACAUUCAUUGGUUUAUGUGAAGAAAUACACUGCUAAUGUCAAGAAGGAUGAGCCUAUAAUGAAAAUGUGUCCGUUACAUUUCAGUAUGCACGAAAAAUAUGUGCAUGAUAACAGCGAUUUAGGCGGUUAUGAAAAGGACACUUGGAGGAACACCAGUGUUCCUUUAGAAAAUGGCAAUUUCUUCCAGAAAGCUCCUAGCAAUGAGCAUCUUCUGAGUGCAGAUGCUGAUAGUAUUUCUGAAUCCAUGUCAGAACAGAAGGUACUUAUUAAGCAUUGGCUUAUUGGGCAACUUAAAGAAUUGGCCUUUCAUGCUGAAAAUUCUGAGAUAAGUUCAGUAGUUUUACCAGCCAAAGUUUUGAUCCAUUUUGAAGUGGUAGAUGGGAAACUAAGAAAAGGAGAUGAUUUUCUCUACCUGUUAACAAUUACUUUUGAAAACCCUGCUUACAACAAUUCACAAGGCAAUGUUGAGAUUACUUGGAAAGCCCCAACUGAUGAUUUUGAAAACUUGGAAUUGAAUUUCGGGAGGUUGGAGCUGGGUGAAGCUUUAUCAUUUGAUUCUGUUGUGGACGAUGGCUUCGACAAUGAUUUUAAGCUGACUCGAUCUUCGUUAGGUUGGAUGGAGAAUGCAAUGUCGGAUGUGACAAAAAGACUAUCUGUGCUCGUGUCUUCAACUGCUCUGAGGUUAUUUAACAGGCUAAAGCUUCCCUUUCCUGGACAUGUUCUUGUCCAUGGGCCUCGAGGUUCUGGGAAAACUGCUUUGACACGGGCUGCUGCAAAAUACUUCGAAGACCAUCAAGAGAUACUAGCACACAUAAUAUAUAUGGAUUGUUCCAAACUUGCAAUUGGCAAGGCUAAGGAGACAAGGCAAACAAUUGAAGAGAGCAUUUCUGAAGCUUUGCUUCAUUCACCUUCUAUCAUCAUAUUUGAUGAUCUAGACAAUGUAAUUUCAAUCUCUUCAGAUCCUCAAGUAUCCCAAUCGUCCAGUUCUUCUGAUUCGCUAGUAAGAUACUUGACUGACAUCCUGGACGAGUACAAGGAUAAAAGUCGUAAUGCAUGUGGAUAUGGACCUAUUGCACUGAUGGCUUCAGUUCAAUCACUUCAGAGUCUUCCUCAAGAGCUGACAUCAUCUGGGAGAUUUGAUUUCCACGUUGAACUCCGUGCUCUUGCCAUCCCUGAGCGUGAAGCACUAUUGAAACAUCAAGUUGAGGAGCAUAAGUUACAGUGUUCUGAGGAAAUUAUUUCAGAGAUAGCGUCGAAAUGUGAUGGCUAUGAUGCAUAUGACUUGGGAAUUCUGGUUGAUAGGGCUGUGCACGCUGCUGCCUCUCGCUUUGUCCUUCCUUCUGCCUGUUUGAACUCUGUAAACCCAACGCUGGUGAAGGACGACUUCUUGAAAGCGCUGCAUGACUUCCUUCUUGUUGCCAUGCGUGAUCUUAGGAAAUAUGCUCCUGAUGGUAAUAAUGGUGGUUGGGAAGAUGUUGGAGGGCUUAACGAAGCAGUAACUAUUAUUAAAGAGACUCUUGAAUUGCCAUCAAAAUACCCAAACGUCUUUACUAAGGCACCCGUACGGAUGCGGUCGAGCAUCCUCCUCUAUGGGCCACCUGGAUGCGGUAAAACACAUAUUGUGAGGGUUGCAGCUGCAGCUUGCUCUCUGCGGUUCAUUUCAGUCAAGGGUCCAGAGCUGUUGAAUAAGUACAUUGGUUCUUCCGAGCAAUCUGUUCGCGACUUUUUUGCAAAGGCUGCUGCGGCAGCACCAUGCUUACUAUUUUUUGAUGAAUUUGACUCCAUUGCACCCCAACGAGGAACACAUAGUGCAGGAGUUUCUGAUCGUGUUGUCAAUCAGUUCUUAACUGAACUAGAUGGUGUCGAAACCUUGACUGGAGUAUUUGUAUUUGCUGCUACAAGAUUCGAUCGUCUUGUCUUUUGUGAUUUUCCUCGAUGGGAUGAGCGUGUAGAAAUUCUGAAAGUGCACUCUAGGACGGUUUCACUGGCAAGUGAUGCCAGUUUGGAAGACGUUGCUUCCUUGACUGAAGGAUUUACUGGUGCUGAUCUCGCAGCUAUUCUAACAGAUGCUGGGUUGGCAGCGGUUCAUGAAGUUCUGGACAGCAGGCAGGACGGUAUCCCGGAAAGAGAACCGUGUAUCAGCAAAGAACUUCUCGUGUCUGUUGCUAUGAAGGCUAGACCUUCUACACCAGCUGAUGAUAAGUCGGGGUACGAUAAGGAGUUUGGCGAAUUUGUGUCGUCCAGGAAGUCCCUUUCCACGAAGGCUAGAGAGUCGAAAGGCAAGAAGGUGACGCUGGCUUGA
rnacentral:rRNA from 1 species